CCUACGGGGGGCAGCAGUGGGGAAUAUUGGGCAAUGGGCGCAAGCCUGACCCAGCAACGCCGCGUGAAGGAAGAAGGCUUUCGGGUUGUAAACUUCUUUUCUCAGGGACGAAGAAAGUGACGGUACCUGAGGAAUAAGCCACGGCUCACUACGUGCCCGCAGCCGCGGUAAUACGUAGGUGGCAAGCGUUAUCCGGAUUUAGUGGGUGUAAAGGGCGUGUAGGCGGGAGCGCAAGUCAGAUGUUAAAACUCAGGGCUCAACCCUGAGCCUGCAUUUGAAACUGUGUUUCUUGAGUGCUGGAGAGGCAAGCGGAAUUCCGGGUGUAGCGGUGAAAUGCGUAGAUAUACGGAGGAACACCAGUGGCGAAGGCGGCUUACUGGACUGUAACUGACGUUGAGGCUCGAAAGCGUGGGGAGCAAACAGGAUUAGAUACCCGUGUAGUC
rnacentral:rRNA from 1 species